UCAAACUUCGGUGGUUCUGAAAGAAAGAAAGGCUGGGCAGGCAACCCGCCUAACAGAGCUUAUUAUCAGUGUGGCUUACAGGACCACUUCAAAAAGGACUGCCCAAACAAUAAGCUGCCCCCUCGUCCAUGUCCCUUGUGCCAGGGGGAUCACUGGAAGGCACACUGCCCCCGAGGGCGAAGGUUCACUGGGCCAGAGGCCACUAACCAGAUGGUACCACAACAGGACUGAGGGUGCCCGGGGCAGGCACCAACCCAUGCCAUCACCAUCACAGAGAGCCCCAGAUCCGAGUGAUGGUGGACCUGUGCAACAGCACCAAGGGCAUCUGCCUCACAGGACCUUCUGGACCACCAGGACCUCCGGGAGCCGGCGGGUUGCCAGGACACAACGGAUUGGAUGGACAGCCUGGUCCUCAGGGCCCAAAAGGAGAAAAAGGAGCAAAUGGAAAAAGAGGAAAAAUGGGUAUUUUUGGCAACUCUUCUAAUUAAUUUCCCUGUUAUUUAUCUCCAUGAUUGCAUUUGGGUCGACUAAAACUGUGUGCAGCAGGGGUAAGGUGUUUCAUCUCUGCACAGUUUAAGGCCGGUUUAACUCUUACCUAGAAGCCAUUGCGUUCCGGGAUACCAAGGGUAUACUUCUUGGUCCCACCUUGACAGAUGUUUAUUUCAAACUGGAGAAGCCGUCUCCUGGGAACUGACUCGCACCCUUCUGCUGCAGAUGGGAGGUGGAAGGAGCAGGAGCCCACAGCCCUGGGAGGGGCAUUCUGUGGGCCGUGUGACAGCUGGUGCUGGUGCAUGCUCUUUCGAGGCUCAGCUCCUGCCUUGCCCUCUAUUGCCUCCUCCUGCCCAGCGAAUCUGUGUUUGGUUGAAAAUCAAUGAACUGAUGUUGGCCCCUGGUAAGGCAUUUCUUGGCUAGAGGAAUAGCUCAAACUGCUUGAGUGGAAAGGCAGCAUCCUGGCCUCCCUGUGGCCGGCACUCAGGUCAAAGG
rnacentral:lncRNA from 10 species